ACACGUGAUUCUAGAGUUUGAUCCUGGCUCAGGAUGAACGCUGGCGGCGUGCUUAACACAUGCAAGUCGAACGGUGAAAGCGGAGCUUGCUCUGCUGGAUCAGUGGCGAACGGGUGAGUAACACGUGAGCAACCUGCCCCGGACUCUGGGAUAACAGCUGGAAACAGCUGCUAAUACCGGAUACGAGCUGCGAAGGCAUCUUCAGCAGCUGGAAAGAAUUUCGGUCCGGGAUGGGCUCACGGCCUAUCAGCUAGUUGGUGAGGUAACGGCUCACCAAGGCGUCGACGGGUAGCCGGCCUGAGAGGGUGACCGGCCACACUGGGACUGAGACACGGCCCAG
rnacentral:rRNA from 1 species